CAAUAGCGUAUAUUAAAGUUGCUGCAGUUAAAAAGCUCGUAGUUGCAUUUCCGAGGCAAGGGAUUAGUCCGACCUUUGGUGGGUAUUUAAUCCUCUUGCCUCGUCCUUGAGUGGUGCUUCUUGGUAUUAAGUUAUCGAGGAGAUAGCCGCUCAUCGUUUACUGUGAGAAAAUUAGAGUGUUCAAAGCAGGCUUAUGCCGUUGAAUAUAUUAGCAUGGAAUAAUAAGAUAGGACCUCGGUACUAUUUUGUUGGUUUGAGAACCAAGGUAAUGAUGAAUAGGGACAGUUGGGGGUAUUCGUAUUCAGUUGUCAGAGGUGAAAUUCUUGGAUUUACGAAAGACGAACUACUGCGAAAGCAUUUACCAAGGAUGUUUUCAUUA
rnacentral:rRNA from 1 species